rnacentral:rRNA from 1 species
GAUGAACGCUAGCUACAGGCUUAACACAUGCAAGUCGCGGGGCAGCAUGGGGGUUGCUUGCAACCCCUGAUGGCGACCGGCGCACGGGUGAGUAACGCGUAUCCAACCUGCCCUUCACCACGGGAUAACCCGGCGAAAGUCGGACUAAUGCCGUAUGUUGUCCAUUGACGGCAUCCGAUUUGGACGCAAGGCUUGGCGGGGCAAGGAUGGGGAUGCGUCCGAUUAGCUUGACGGCGGGGUAACGGCCCACCGUGGCUACGAUCGGUAGGGGUUCUGAGAGGAAGGUCCCCCACACUGGAACUGAGACACGGUCCAGACGCCUACGGGAGGCAGCAGUGAGGAAUAUUGGUCAAUGGGCGUAAGCCUGAACCAGCCAAGUAGCGUGCAGGAUGACGGCCCUAUGGGUUGUAAACUGCGUUUAUGCGGGGAUAAAGUGGCCCACGUGUGGGCUUUUGCAGGUACCGCAUGAAUAAGGACCGGCUAAUUCCGUG